GAAGUGGAAUCGAAUGCUCCUCCCGUCGAAGCGUCCUUUCUUUAUUGAGGGAACCAGUCAAAACGUCUUUGAUGCGAGUGUGAGGCCGCCCCGUCUCCCGUCCCCCAUAAAUCUCUCCCCAGACGAUACAGACCACGCCGCGACGUACGCAACAGAACACAACCGCUUCUAGGGUUUGCGACCGUCGGUGUGUAGGACUGGUGGCUACGAUGACGAUGGCAGGGCAAGGGCGACCUCAAGAUGAUUGAUCUGGAGGGAAUGGAUGGAGCUUCAUCAUGCAGAAGGGUAUCAACAUCUUCGAGGGCAAGUCGGAGCCACGGUUCUGCUCCGAAGAAAGCAUGAUCGAUCUGGGGGAAUGGAUGAUGCUCUGCAUAACGAUAUAAUCACAUCAGCUAUAUGACGAGUACCACGAGUCCUUUGAGGAGUACAUCCGAGCCGCAGUGAGCGGAUUUGCCACUCUUGCUGAUACGUACAUGAGUGUUGUGUGUUCAGAUUAUCCUCUUUUUUUAUGUGUCGGUGCUUGCACAGAUGGGUUUAUAUUUGUGUGCUUUUGGGGGUUCAGGUGGACCGUGAGGUGGGUUAUUUACUUACUUUACUAGCUGCGAAUGAUUACAUCUCAUCUUACUGUGUACUAACACAUAAUCAGAUCCCAUUAAGUUAUUUUGUUCUUUGACAAUUUGAAACAAACCUUCCUAUUGGAAUUCCUGUAUACUACUGUAUCUUUUAUGCAAUAGGUGCAUCCUGGAUAAUAUCCUUAAUUUACAUUAGUGCAUCAGUGAGUUUGCUUUUUAUCUGACAAUGUGUUUAGGUAAAUUUAUUUAUGCUCCAUCUUUCUCAGACCAAAGAAUGAUAUCAAGAAGCUGGAAAUGUGAAACUGCAUUCUGGAUGCUUUUGGACGAGUCCUGGAUCCAGCCCUGUCUUCAUCAAGCUCUAACUCUGCAGAUAGGGAGGAAGCCGUCUAGGCUGCUUGGUUCUAGGUGAUAAGCUUAUGAGCGGGGACAAGUGAUGAUCUGGUGGACCUGCUUAUGGCACUUCUCCUUGUCUACCUUGACAACUCAUCUGGUCGUCGGUGUCCCAUCUCCUGAGAUGUGCGGGUGUUGAGCCCAGCGACAUGGAUGUAGUCUGAUUUGAGGAUGGCUGUUUUUACUUUUUCUUUAGUAAUUCUGAUGCUGUCUAAAUGAUCAUCCUCUAUUUCAGGUUGAAGGUCUUCAUUGUUGCAUAUUCAAAGUUACAUUGGACACGUAUAAUACAUAGUUCCUGAUGUAAUAAAAUUUUCGUCUGACUUUUCAUCUGUGCUAUUCAGCUAUCCAUUAGUUUCCAUCACAAUAAUGGUGUUUUGUUGUUGAGACAAGCAGGUUAGUGAUUGUUGGCUUUGCUGAAUUGGUAGAUUUUAGUUCAGUUAAAAACUGCCGAACUACUGAAUUGGUGACCUUUCUCUAUAACUCUUUCUUUGUGCGUGGCUUCUUCGUUUCAAUUUCUUUGUAUAAACACCACUGUUACAAUUUGAUGAAAGCAACACUUUUGUAUGUACAUCCUUUAAUAGAUAUGUUUUCCCAAGAAAAGGCGAGAUGUUUUAAUUCACUGGUAAGUUACUAUUUUCUUUAAACGGUUUAUUUCUCCUCAUUAGAACUUUUAGCAAAAAAUAUUCCGCAGCAACGCGCGGGGAAUCAUCUAGUUUAGGAUAAUAAUUGGAGAGGUAUUUUAUAGCUUUGAGGAUAAUGGAUUGCAUUGAGAGAACAUUGUCAAACAUGAAUAAUUCAAUGCAUCCAGAGUGAAUUAUGAUAAAAUAUCUCAUGCAAAACAGAUUCUCGAGAGAUAAAUAUAGCAUGGGUUUAUUAACGUUACAACACCAAGAUUCACAAGCAUUUCAGAGUGAAAUCUCAUGAUAUUCCACCUGCCAAACAGAUAUACCAACGAUAACAUUG